UCUGGAUCAAGCAUCCUUUUGACAAGAUCUUUAGCAUUAUCCGAAACUCUAGGCCACGGAUCCCUCUUAAAAUCUACAACAGAACGAAUAAUCGCUUGCGCCACUCCUUGCUCAGUUUCAGCCCAAAAUGGCGGUACACCACAAAGCAAGAUGUAAAGGAUCACUCCUGCACUCCAGACAUCAACCUCUGGACCAUAAUUUCUUUUCAGAACCUCAGGAGCCAUGUAAUAUGG
rnacentral:misc_RNA from 1 species